UACGUAGGGUGCGAGCGUUGUCCGGAAUUACUGGGCGUAAAGAGCUCGUAGGUGGUUUGUCGCGUUGUUCGUGAAAUCUCACGGCUUAACUGUGAGCGUGCGGGCGAUACGGGCAGACUAGAGUACUGCAGGGGAGACUGGAAUUCCUGGUGUAGCGGUGGAAUGCGCAGAUACCAGGAGGAACACCGGUGGCGAAGGCGGGUCUCUGGGCAGUAACUGACGCUGAGGAGCGAAAGCGUGGGGAGCGAACAGG
rnacentral:rRNA from 1 species